AGGGAGGACCGUCGGCUACUGUCCCUGCAGCAUAUCACAGAAGCAGAGCAGGGUUUUCUAGCUCAGGACGGGGAACCAAGCAUGUGUGCUAACCUGCUCUCCUUCAGGACCUGCUAAAAAUGGCAACAGAGGAAAGUAAGGGGCCCGCCCACACAGCAGACGAAGAGGACAAUGAGGAGGGGACAAGAUGAGAUCUCCACAGAUUUGCACAGUGGGCUGAAGGUGCUGGCUUACAGAGCAGACACGAGGUGGCCAUGACCAGCUAGCAAACCAACGCCACGGACCUCAUCACAGGCGGGGCAAUGAGGCGGGAGUCAACCUGCCCAGGAGAAACCGAAAGGAUCUGGAUUCGGAGAAGAUCGCUUAUCUCUUGGGCGUGUGGUGCCUCACAGUACGCUCAGAAGUGAGAUCUGCCUCAAAAGACAGAUCUGAUCCUCACGGUGCUGGUUCUCCGAUCAAAUCAGCUUUUCACAAUGAAGUGGAUUACCUCUACGACCCACCUGGCCCAAGUCCACUCUAACUGAACAGAACACAGAAGCCUGACACGUGUGAGCCCGUGCAGUGAGGGCAGCCCUUCAAAGGACAUUUCGCUUGCAGACACACGUGUCUGUUUCUGGAAGCUGAGGCCAGUGUCUUGGGCGUAUUGCGGCUCCCUUACCUGGGGUAGACACCAAAAUCUGGCACCGGG